rnacentral:rRNA from 1 species
AGAUUGAACGCUGGCGGCAUGCCUUACACAUGCAAGUCGAACGGCAGCACGGGAGCAAUCCUGGUGGCGAGUGGCGAACGGGUGAGUAAUAUAUCGGAACGUGCCCAGUCGUGGGGGAUAACGCAGCGAAAGCUGUGCUAAUACCGCAUACGAUCUAUGGAUGAAAGCGGGGGAUCGCAAGACCUCGCGCGAUUGGAGCGGCCGAUAUCAGAUUAGCUAGUUGGUGGGGUAAAAGCCUACCAAGGCGACGAUCUGUAGCUGGUCUGAGAGGACGACCAGCCACACUGGAACUGAGACACGGUCCAGACUCCUACGGGAGGCAGCAGUGGGGAAUUUUGGACAAUGGGCGAAAGCCUGAUCCAGCCAUGCCGCGUGUGUGAAGAAGGUCUUCGGAUUGUAAAGCAACUUUAAGUUGGAGGAAGGCAAUUAACCUAAUACGUUAGUGUUUAGACGUUACGACAAGAAUAAGCACCGGCUAACU